CUGCACGAUGAGACCCUCACCUACCUGAACCAAGGUCAGUCCUACGAGAUCCGGAUGUUGGACAACAGGAAACUCGGGGAACUGCCGGAGAUCAACGGGAAGCUGGUCAAGAGCAUUUUCCGGGUGGUUUUCCGUGACCAGCGGAUCCAGUGCACCUGUC